UAGGGUCAGGAUGGAGUAAGAUCACUUAGGUACAGCUUAAGAGCCGCCCCCAAGAAGGAAAGGCAUCAUCCAGUGUCCCCGACCCAGGACCCAAGGGGAAGAGGCAGAGGCUCACACUGCCUCAAAGUGAUUCCCACGCCCUGCGUGGCUGGAAGAGCAGUGACCCAGAGUAACGGGAGACGUGGUGAACGAGAGCAGCAGGCAACCUGUCAUCUAGUCCUGUGGGAGAACCAACCCUUCCCAUCCCGCUGUGCAGUUUUCAGAAGUUCGUGCCAUGCUGAGGACCAGGUUCACCGACAGCCUCACACUCAGCUCCACAGCAGCCUCCUCCCAAGGACUGACAUAGCGCUUCAAGGAAAGUGGGGGCAAACGCCCUGAGCUCACUGGUAGUGAGUUCCCGGAAUGAGGUAGGGCUUCCACAUGGGAAGCAGGCUAGCACUAAGCUAUUAGGAUGUGGACGUUUGCAUUGCCGACCCUGAAGCUCGUCACUCCAGGUUAAGCCUUCCAAUCACAUGCGGCCCUCGCAAGCCUCCAUCCUGUGUUUGUUCCUUCCUACUUUCCUCUUCGCAGCAUUGCCAGCGACGACCCUCUUCCCAAUGGAGCCGAGGAAGCAGAGGACAAUCAGUUGACAGAAACACAGAUCUGAAAUACCUCCCCAAGCAGAAGGACUGAGAGAACUUUCCUGGCUGCUGGACGGUGAGAACAUUAAGAGCCUUACUUGCAGUUACCCUGAAUCUACACCGUCUGACCUCGGCCGAGUGCAACUGGUUCUUACAAAACAAACAGCGACAAACAAAACGGCAAUGAGGAAUUCUGACGGAGGGAGAUCAGCAAAUGUUUAAUCAGGAAGCUCCGUAAAAAUCCCGUCCCCGAACACUUGACCGCAAGCUCAGUGCUGAAGAGCGCUGCUUCCUGGAAGGCUAGCCCGGGCCCUGCUCCUCAGAACCACCCUCACAUGCUUCUCGGCCUUCUUGCUUCUCUAUCAGCUGUCACUCAGGAGGGACUGCCGGUUUCCCAGGCAUUCGUGGGAAUCUCAAGUCACAGCUGUCCCGGGGUCUUCAAACUGAAGGUCCUUUCUUUCGAGGGAGACACACAUCCCGCGUGCUCGCCCAGAGUGGGAGCGUGCAGUUACGUUGAAUCCCUGGCGGGCUAGGCCCUGUGGCCUGACGCCGUCUGUGUGCGGGUCCUAUUCAUGACGUUGCUCCCACCCAGGCUGCGCUGCCCCCGUGAGCGGGCAGAGCACUUGUCUGAACGUGGCGGAGCGGCCCUGACACAGUCCUGGCGUGAGCACAGUGAGGGGGAGAGGCGAAGGCGCCCGCCCCGGCCUGCUCUGCAAGGGGCCGAGAAAGGCCUAACCCUCUAGGCACACAGAGAGUGCCGACUAACUUCAGCUCAGCCACGGCGAGUGGGAGGAUGCCAGAGCAGGGCACGGUGAGCGGAUAAGCCCUACCCAGCUCUCGUCACCACUCCUCCAACCUGGAGCUUACUCAUUCCCACUUCAGGAACUUGGGUUACCAUUUGCAAAGCGGGCGACUGCAUCGUAGCUCCCGGAGAUACGCAGAGGACUAUCGACAGGAGACAGCGUGCACUUAUUGCUGCGUGGAGCAUUUCACAACAGUUCCGCUUUGACGGGCAGUGUUCGGGACAGGUCCUGUCACACGCUCACUAGAAUGCUGACCCUCCGGACCACAAGCCCUGCCACUGUGAGAUGUUAAGAUUCCCUUCCAGCAGGUGAGCCCUUCCCACCCCACGCCCGGCUGAGCCAGCCCAGAUGAGAAGAGAGCCCAGCACCGGCAGCCUUGAAUUACCUCCGAGGAAUCCAGCAGAGUCCAGCCCCAGCUGCCAUCUGUCCACAGCGAAAUCUCAUCUCACCUAGAGGACCAGAGUGGAGAAAACAUUGCUACUUCAAAGAAGAAGACCCUACAAGACACACAGCUCCUUCAUGAGCAGUCUCCAAGUGCAUGAUCUUAGAGGAGUCAUAUUACCCUAUCCAGACCCUUUUAUUGGAAGGUCUUCUUAAAGCCAGGAGGUUUCUAAAACCCACCCAACCAUAGUUGCAGCAGGGUUUUUGUAAGAGGCUUUUUACAGGAAAAAAAAAGUCAGUAGCAGUCAUCCCGGGUGGAACAGAACUGCAGCUGCAGCCUUUGACAGAUUGCAGGAUGACAGGAAGAAGAGUUAAGAGGACAGGACAGGCUGCGGGAUUCGAAGUUGGGCAGAGAUGCUGUGCAUUUUCAAGAGCGAAAGGAGACCACUGCGGACCAGAGCUGUGGGGGUCCGUCCGUCCAGCACAGCCGUCUGAGUUACAGGUGUGCUCCGAGCGUGGCAUUCAAAGCAGACCAGAGGAUACUAAGAACCAGAGUGAUGAGAGAGAGCAGAGACCCAUCAGCCUCCAGGCCAUCCGGAGGCGACUUCAUGGCACACGCGAGGAGCAGCGCCGUGGACGACUCUCCCUCCCGGCUUCCUGAAGGGCUGGUUCCCAGCGUGUGACAGUACACACUCUCCCCGGGAGCGAACAGCAGCGGAGCGGUCCCCGAGAAAUGCCCGGGUCUGGAAGGCAGGCGGUCCUUCUCCCGGCUCCGCUGUGCAUACGCACCUGCCGUGGUGCAGCCGGCGGUGAACCGUUCCUCGCCACGCCCAGGAGUCGACGGCUGACCUGGGAUGUCGGUGGGCACGCGCGUGGGCAUGUAACCGCUCUCUUCAGUGUUCUGUGGGCGCUCCUUAUCAAAAUGCCUCCAUUAUUAAACCGCCUCCCACAGCGUGGGUGUUUAGGAAAAAGCAGUAAGAGCUGUCACGACCCCAGACUGCUGCUCCCCCCCCAGGAUUCAGAGACCGGAGGGGAGCGGUGUGUCUGUAACGUGUUCUUCUCGCUGAGCUGCUUAGACAGGUGUGUCAGGCCUCCCCUUAGCCAAAGGAAAACCAUCUCAUCGGGGCUCGGCCCUUUCCUGCCUCCGGCAGAGGGUUGCAAUCCGGCAGCUUGACGGCCCCUGGGUAGGCUCGCAGAGCCCCAGAGGGCCUCCCCAUGCAGCUCCCCGACACAUCCCUGCUGGACUCCUUCCCGCCCGGGUAGCACUCUCAAAGCUGGGAGAGGAGAGCUUCUCCCGCCUUCCACGCAAACACCCAGUAGACUCUCCGGCCACCUCGAGGAGGAUGACACGAACUUACUGAGGCAGAGAGGACACGCUGACAGAACUGUCGACCUCGACUCAGCUCCAGUGGAGGUGAGACCCGCCACCCCACCCCGGGGCCCACCCAUGGUCGCAGCUGGGCCAGCCAACAGGUGGCUGGAGGAGAUAGGCUGUGAGCGGUUCUAAAAGCUCCAUUUCAAGCACUGCUGGCCAGAACGGUAGAGCAGGCACGGGAUGUGCUGGCGGUUUAAUUUCCUUAGGGAAGAAUAUGAGACCAGAAGGCCCAGCCAGGCCCAGCACCCCCAGGGCCUCGGCCAGAGGAGACUGCUCACACUAGCCAUUCUGGAUCGGCGCCGGGAGGGGUCCAUGACAUUCAACCCAUGAACUGUGAGGAAGAGUUAGAACAAGAGUUAGAAGAGACUGAAAUGAAGUGGAAGCUUGCUCUAUUUCGGAAAAGAAAUAACCAUUAACUACGGUGAGAAUAAUAAAGACAACUCAUCAACAACCAUUUCCUGAAAGACUAUUUUUAGUGAAGCACUUCAUCAAGUAAUAGGCCUCAAACCCUAGGGAGGGUCUCAGGAGGUAAAGGGAAGAGACCGAGCAUUCCUAGCUAAUGUGAACACCAUGCACGCAGGUGAGACCCAGGCAAUCCAGGGCUAUGGAGAAGACGCGUCUUAUGGGACGGAGGAGAGAAUGAUGAAGAGAGGAGAGAAAUGAGAAGUGUUAUUUGCAUCACUGGCACGAUCUACCAAUGGCGACCCAAUUAAAUGCUAUAGACAGGAAGGCACAGGGGUCAGGAAGGAGGUGAGAAAGGAUAUUCCCUAAUAUGAAAAGAUAAUUUGGUAUAAUGGAGAAAGACAACACCCACUUUAUGUUUUUUUAGUUUUUGUUGUUGUUGUUGUUUUUUGAGAGGUUUUUGCUCUAGUGCACGUGGGCUCACCAGAGAGACAGAGAGACAGAAAGUGAGAAAUCACCCCCCAAGGGGGA